rnacentral:rRNA from 1 species
CGCAUCUAAAGGAUUAUUUGUAAAAAAGUAAUCAUAGAAACAACUUUCAACAAUGGAUCUCUUGGCUCUCGCAUCGAUGAAGAACGCAGCGAAAUGCGAUACGUAAUGUGAAUUGCAGAAUUCCGUGAAUCAUCGAAUCUUUGAACGCACCUUGCGCCUCUUGGUAUUCCGAGGGGCAUGCCUGUUUGAGUGUCAUUGAAACCCUCAAGAAGAAAGUCUUUCGGGGCCUUCUUUUUGGAACUGGAGUGUGCUGGCCUUUUCGUGGAAGAGCCCAGCUCCUCUGAAAUGCAUUGGCGAUGUGACAUCCUCAUGCCAUCACGCUUCUCUAGCAUUGAUAGUCUCUUUCAUGCUUUAGUGUGU